rnacentral:rRNA from 1 species
UUCUGCCUACGGGGGGCAGCAGUGGGGAAUAUUGCACAAUGGGGGAAACCCUGAUGCAGCAACGCCGCGUGAGUGAAGAAGUAUUUCGGUAUGUAAAGCUCUAUCAGCAGGGAAGAAAAUGACGGUACCUGAGUAAGAAGCCCCGGCUAAAUACGUGCCAGCAGCCGCGGUAAUACGUAUGGGGCAAGCGUUAUCCGGAUUUACUGGGUGUAAAGGGAGCGUAGGCGGCAGGGCAAGCCUGAUGUGAAAGCCCGGGGCUCAACCCCGGGACUGCAUUGGG